rnacentral:rRNA from 1 species
AGGGUGUAAACGCUGCAGACUUGGUGUUGGAAAUCCUUCGAGGGUAUUCAGUGCCGGAGAGAAGUUGUUAAGUCUGCUACUUGGGGAGUACGUCCGCAAGGAUGAAACUUAAAGGAAUUGGCGGGGGGAGCACCGCAACGGGAGGAGCGUGCGGUUUAAUUGGAUUCAACACCGUAAACUCACCAGGGAAGACUGUUACAUGAAAGCCGAGAUGAAGACUCUGCUAGAUUUUCAGAGAGGUGGUGCAUGGCGUAGACGUCU